CCCCUAGAUGUUCUGGGCCGCACGCGCGCUACACUGAACAGUUCAACAAGUCUUAACCUUGGCCGAUAGGUCUGGGUAAUCUUUGAACGCUGUUCGUGAUUGGGAUAGACCUUUGCAAUUAUGGGUCUUCAACGAGGAAUUCCUAGUAAACGCAAGUCAUCAGCUUGCAUUGAUUACGUCCCUGCCCUUUGUACACACCGCCCGUCGCUACUACCGAUUGGACGUUUUAGUGAGGAUUUUGGACUGAGCCAAUGGUGGUUCACACCACUGUUGUGCAUGGAAAGAUCUCCAAACUUGAGCGUUUAGAGGAAGUAAAAGUCGUAACA
rnacentral:rRNA from 1 species